UUAAUUGAAGCCAAAUUAGAGGCAUAUUAUUGUUAAUAAUAGAAUUAAGUAGUUUUACUUCAAUUAAA
rnacentral:tRNA from 1 species